rnacentral:rRNA from 1 species
UACGUAGGUGACAAGCGUUGUCCGGAUUUACUGGGCGUAAAGAGCGCGCAGGCGGUCGUUUCAAGUCGAGUGUGAAAGCCCCCGGCUCAACUGGGGAGGGUCACUCGAUACUGAUCGACUCGAAGGCAGGAGGAGGGAAGUGGAAUUCCCGGUGUAGUGGUGAAAUGCGUAGAGAUCGGGAGGAAGGCCGGUGGCGAAGGCGGCGCUCUGGAACAUUUCUGGACGCUGAGGCUCGAAAGCGUGGGGAGCAAACAGG